CCUACUUUGAUUUUGAUCUAUACUUGAACUGUCUCAUCUCACUACAUCUUAAACUACUUUCUGAUGUGUUUCUGAUCAUCUCUGCUCUUGACUUCUUGCCUCAUCUGUUAUCCCCUUCAAAAAAUUUUCUUUUGGAAACUUGGUAGUGCACUAAGCACAGUCUUUUAUAAAACAACCCAUCCUGAUCUAGUCUAGCUUAUAGGUCAUCACACUCAGUACGGUCCUAAUAAACAGUCUUCUCACUGGGUUUGCCAUAUCCUUGUUAAAAGAAACAGUUCGCUGAGACUGUCCACUCUUUAUUUCAUAGACACUUCUGUUGAUGCAAGGCAGUUGUGUAUGUGUGUCUAUGCAUGUAUAUAAUUUUAUUGUAUUCAUUGUUCGACAUUUCAUAAAAUUUAUUUGUAUUUAUGCUUGUUCUAUUGCUUAUCAACAUUUUUAUGAAUUAAAAAAUUGCAUCCUUGCUAU
rnacentral:lncRNA from 1 species